rnacentral:lncRNA from 10 species
CAGGAGAGACGGGAAGGAGAAGAAUAGGAAACACAGAUACAGACAACUCUUUCCGGUUGGCAGGAAGCAAGGUCAGCAGAGAAGGUAAGAUGCUGGCGGAGGUGAUGGAUGCUUGAAGAGGAAGAAGAAAGUACAAAAUGGUUGCCCAGGAAAGUGGGAGAACAAACGAACUGGGGCAAUAACAUAUGUGCUGGGCAACACUGAGGCCCACUUGAGGUUGGAGAUCAUACAUUAUCUUAAGUGAGAGCAGGCAGAAAGGUUAUACGGGAAUAUGGUUAUAAAGGGCAGGGAGGGUGGUGGGGAGGCUGUCACUGUGUUGGUUACAGGCAAAGCUGCUGACUUGCUCCACCAUCAACAGCUUGAAGGAUAAGCAUGUGACUGGGUCUAGUUGAUCCAAGUACCUCUGAUCCCCUGGCCACCGUGACUGGUGCAGGGAUUGCACCUGACCGGAGAUGGACCAAUAGAGCUUUCCUCAGGAUUUUGCUGCAACGACAAAAAAACUGCCCUUUGUUGCCUUGAGAGCUAAGCUGGUAGGAAGAUGCCUCAAGCCUUGGGGACCACCAUGUAGUAUGAGUCGGCCUGGGAUGAAGGCAACACAAGGAAAACAGUGUUAGGAAACAGACAGAGAGUCCCAGUGGCCUUGUUGGAGGACCUGGAUCCAGAAAUGCCUGAAGCCGAAAUCUAUGCCGGACCACACACUAGGAGAUGUCUGUUUUUCUACAGGCAGUGUAAGAUCAAUCUGUCACUUGCAACUCAAUGAGUCCUGACUAAUACAGAAACCUUUGUCACAGGGCUUCUGGGACAAUAAAAUGAAAUAAUCCAUGUAAAGAAGUUUACACAGGGUCUGGCACAGAAGAGGGAUCCUAUAAAACUGCACCACUUGUUACUCUGAUGAUACUUAUGUCAACGAUGUAAAUGUUUCACUCGAGUCUCCUCUGUGCCCAGGCUCUGUGCUGACCCCUGUGGACACAAAGAUGAAUUAAGUCCUGGUCCCACUAAAGGAGUUCACAGUCUAAUUGAGGAGACUUAAAUAGACCAUUAGAGUUUAAGUUCAUUAACAAAGAAUUCUGAGCAUAGUAUGCCUGGGCCUGGACUGGGGUGGGAUAGAUGGAGAGUGACCCAGUUUUACCUGGGAGUCAGGAAGGCUCCCUGGAAGAGGUGACAUUCCAGCUGGGGGUGGAAGGACAAGUGUCAGUUUGUGGGUGAAGAAGGGAGUUGGACAUCCCUGACAGAAGGAACAGCGUGUGCAAAGGUCCUGUGCUCUGACCAUCGGGAAAUAGGGAGUUGGGAGAACCAGAACAGUGGGAAGCUGAGAUGCAGUGAGGCCUGUGGGGCUGGAGUGAAGGUCACAACCUUGAAGCCCUAAAGGCUGAAUCAUAUGCAAAUGUGCCUUAUUGUGGCCCACUCUGUGUGUGUGUGUGUGUGUGUAAGCUGCCCCCAUUUGGAAAUAAGGAAGUUUCACAUUAAAAUCUGGGUUUCCAGCUUUUCUUGAGAGAUAAGAAGAUCUGGGUUAGAGCUCCCACCUUUGCAACAGGUAGCUGGAGCUGAGUAUCCACUACCCACCUUUGACAGGGGAGCAGCCCUGCAGACUGCAUCCUGCUGAUCAAUGAACGGGUCCGUCUGCACACCCAGGUGGCCUUCCACAGGUGCAACCCCUUCCCAGCUCCCGAAGGCAUUUGAAUUUGGGACUAAACACCCCCUUCUACUAUAUAAUUAAUAUUUGGAACACAGUAGCUUUUGGAAUAAUAGCUAAUAAUAAAAACAAUUUUAAGGAUUGAAAGCCAGUCCUAAGUCAUAUUGGAUGACAAUUCCUGCACGGGGUAUUGAAAAUGGCAAGGAAACUAGCUGCUGUUUAGUGAGUGCUUCCUCUGAGCCAAGCAGGUGCCAAGUACUAAGCAUGUGUUUUCUCAUUCAAUUCUGGCAACAGUCUUGUAGAUGUCAUUAUUACUUCCAUUUCACAGAUGGGGAACUGAGGCUCACAGAGAACUGAGGAUUUGCCUAAGGUCACAUAGCCAAGGAAUGGCAGAGCUGAAGAUUUGGGUUCAUAUCCAUCACCCCCAAUGGCUGACUGUUUUCU